GGGGAGUAAAUGAAUAAAGAAGAAAAACCCAUUACUCAAAUGGGAAUUGUGGAGAGGUUGCUUAAUUUGCGCAUACUUUAUAUUGCUCCUAUAUGAUGUGAUGGUACUUAGAUUUCCACUAGGAAAGCUAGCUGUUAGCUCACACACACGCACAAAGCGAAACAGUAGUGGAUAACAGUAGAAAAAUAAGCACCGCAAUGAUCAAGC
rnacentral:lncRNA from 1 species